AGAACAUAGGUUGGCUUCUGUGGUGACUAUGUGGGAGUCCUGACCUCGCUUGCAGACUUGACCUCUGGAUAUAACAAGGAUCUAGAAGCAAAUUAUAAAGAAGAGGGAGGCACGACGGAGAGAGCAGCAAGCGUGCUAACAUUUCUGAAUACACUUAAGACUCUGCUGACUGCAUCUCUUGGAAAAGAAGCAGCAGGGCAAAGCAUGGCAGUGCUUAAAAGAACCACAAGCAGAAGUGGCAUUGAUGGGAUCAGGU
rnacentral:lncRNA from 1 species